UAACUAUAUUUUUUUCACAUCUAUUAACCACACAGCUUUUGUGCUGAUGGGUUUCAGCCUGGUUCACACCCAGUCGACCUCACACACAUGGUCUAGGAAGUAAAGAAAUAUUCUACAAACUUCUACUCGCUCACAAGCCAAACGCAGCCAAGCGGCAGAGAACCAGGACCUUCCUUCAUCAGAAAAUAUAUCGACGCCUCAUCAUCAUGACCCCUGUAACGGCUCCUGCUGAUUCCCAGCUCUUCCGAUGCUCAGCUUUUCUGAAAGGCGAGCCCAAAGCACUGGGGACUGUGCACAUCAUGAUCGGAAGCUUGACUUUCUUGUUCGGUAUUGUUUUUAACUCGUUCAUUCUAACACCCAUGGCCAUCAGUGGUACCACUUUGUGGGGAUCUCUGGUCUUCGUUAGUUGUGGUGCUUUAUCAGUCGCUACAGCCAAAAAGCAUGAUCCAUGCAUGGUAUGUAAACACGGCUUACUAAUAAUUUCUUAACUUAAUGUUUUUAAUUUUCCAGUAAAUCAUCUAUCACUGUGUUUGUGUGGUUGUAAAGCUGUGGAAAGAAAGUAAACAUCCAGUUCAGAAACAUUGAUGGUUGUUGAGUGAGAAAGAACAGAUGUGGAACUGCACAGUGGUUGUAGCAGACUGCUCAUAGUGUAGCAUUAGGAUAACAUAAACCACUUCCUGACAAGUCCUUUAUAUAUUUAACCCUUAUACAUACAAGCAAACUUGCAAAAAAAAUUUUUCUUAAU